rnacentral:lncRNA from 1 species
AUAUAACGUGAUAUUAGAAGAGAAUUACUUCAACGACUUGAUAAAAUUAAAACCUCAAACCAAUCAUAAUUAUGUGGUUUGGCAGCUAGCUUGUUGCAUUUCUCUAUCUGUAUUCGGCAUUGAAAAUGGCCUGUAAACUGCUGGUUGGCUUUUAAAGUUUUGAACACCAUUGCAAGUAAAAGCCAAAGAGGAAGAAAACAAAACUAAAAGAAAACGUAAUGUAAAUAAGACUAACCUCACAGCAACAAGAGCUUCUUCUUUAACGUUACACCAAAUCAUGCAUGCGGACAACAUCAAAACCAACGUCUCUUUAAAGUAAUAACGAAAUACCAAAUCAUGCGGCAGAGAAAGAAAGCGGAGAUGACAGUGAAAGCGACCGCGAUGCUGCAACAUAGGGACCCGGUCGACGGUGCGUUCCAGAUCAACCAGAAACAGGACAGUAGGUAAAGGAAGAUAUUGGUCCAACAAAAUCGUCGUUGAUGAGGGAAGCCGGUCGCGAGCCCGAGCAACGCGGGCAGCGACAUCCACCUCUAGCAGAGCACAGUUUUGAGAAAUUGUUCAACUUGUUCGGUGAGGUUAGGAUUCAUCUGGAACGCCAUCAAAUUAUGUACAUCCCAACCAAAAAGGUUGCAUACUGAACAAGAAGGCGCCACUCACCAACCACAGUGAGUUUGAUAUAUUUAAGAACCAGCCUCGUUGUAAAUAGAGUUGACUGGACUUUUCACAAGCAUUUUCUUUUUCCUCGCUUACAGCCAUGUCCGUUCCUACAGCUUAAGCCAAGGAAUCAAAGGUUUUGGUGUUUAUUUGUUAUAAUUGGGAUGCCAGUGUUCAACCAAAAAACACUCGUGUAACCCAAUAUCAGGCCCAAAAGAAGAGGAAUUUUGGAACCAUCGGAGUCCAAGUCCACAGUUCUCCAUCUCCUUUUAUGCGCAGCAAAGUGACAAUUAUUUAGUCUGACCAAAAACACAAAGGGUC